CGUUCAAGGCCCCGCCCGGUGUUGCCAAACCUGGACAUGAGGGGGAAACUGAGUCACGGGGGAAACUGAGUGUAGAGGUCGGUGGGGCGGGUUAUCAGGUGUGAUCACCCCCCAGCCCUCUUACAGCCGUAUUUAUUGCAUGACUGCUGUAUGCCAAGGAUGGGACAUAGCUGAGUGCGAGGCGAUCCCCAUGGCGGCUCCCCUCAACUCACAUUUGGGAAACAAAAUCAAGAGAGGCUAAAGGUUAGGGCCUCCACCCCCCGCUCUGCUUAAGUCAGGCUGACUGGCCCUCCACUCCUUACUCAGCUGCUUCAAAAUGGGGCGAAUGAUAUCCUUCUGUGCCUCAGUUUCCUCCCCUGCACAAUGGCGGUAAUAAGUACCAUUGUUAAUGGUUAUCAUUAUUACAGGAAAAUGGGGCUCAAGUGAGAGCAGAGACUCUCAGUUUCCCUGCCCAGGUCUAGAGAGUUGCAAGUGGCUCUGGGAGCAGAUUUAUGGUCUUCUCUCUCCCUGGUUCACUGGCUAGUGAGUGGGGGGUGGGGGCAGCCUGGCUGGGAGCCCAGUCAGUUUCCCAAUCUGUGUAGUGGGCUGUGUGGGAGCCCAUCCUCAGCAGGGGAGUGCACAAAUUAAAGAGCUCCAGCUGGAGGAGAUCUGUGGGGGGUGGCCAGGGCUUCUGUUAGUGGAGACUUCGCCAUACCUUCCGAGCUCUGCUCCAGCUGCUGUGGGAACAGCUUGUAAUAAAAAUAAAAAUUACUGCUAAUCAGGAAAAUCGUCCCUCCCAGCCCAGCCUUGCUCUUGAGCUACAAAACACCUCAACUUUCUGGAGUUAACCCUCUCCACCCCACCCUCCAAGUGCUUAAAGACUCUAUUGUACAGAUCAGGAAACUAAGGCCCAGUAAAGGGAAGUGGCUAGCCUAAGGCCACUGCAAGGGGCAUGAGUGAAGUCAGAGUAGGAUCAUAGCCAGAUCCGUUCUCUUGGGAGGCUGCAGAGAAGUCACUGAGGGUUUCCUGGAGGAGGUGGAAAGAAAGCCUGAAGGAAAGAAAGGACUCAGAUCAGCAGGGGAAAGGCUGGACUCCUGACAUAGGAUGAAGAAGCCAGACUGGACUCCUCCCUCCACAGGAGCCCAGAGGCAUGAACUUCCAAAUAAUCCAAGAGUCAUGAGCCCACAGAACAAGGAGACACAGAACUAAGGAAUGACAAAGUCAUAGUGUCAUGGGUCAGUGGGGACAUGGGCCCACAGUAUGCUAAAACCACAGGACUGUGGCAUCCUAGAGCCGCAGGAUCAUGGUGUCACAGAGCCACAGACCCAGGGUGAUGUGGCUGCCCGUCAGUGGAAGCUCAGAGCUGUAACGGUGGAAGCCACAGGACUCCAGGGAGGCUGAGGCAUGGCACGGGGGCAUCCCACAUCUGAGGUGCCACAGGAGGGAGUCUCCGAGUUGACCCCAACAGAACCACUCUCUUGGCCAUACCCUCGGCCGGCCGGCCAGGGAGGCUCCUGGAGGCCAUGGGAGCUAUGAGGUGCUCUCUUCCCUCAACUCUGGAGCAGCCACGGAGCAAAGGACCACGCCAUUUGCUGACGCCCGGAGCCCGACAACCGCCAAGCACUCACUGAGUCCCUGUGCCAGGGCCAAGUGAGGCUGUCCAGGUGCCUGGAAACAGUGCCAGCCUCCGGCCAGGCGCGCCGGGACGCUGAGUGCUCAGCAGCAAGUGGAAAAAGAAUCAACGAGUUACUUCUAUAUCCAUAUCCUUCUGGAAGCCAAUAGCAACACGGCACAGAGGGGCGGCUAGAGCCUGGCCACAUCCCUCUCUGGCCGGGGCAGUAAACCGGGUAGCUGUCCGCCCCCCUUGCUCCCCAGCACCCGUCGCUGGCCACACCAGUACUCCUAGUCCAGCUCAGAUUCCACCAGACACAUCCGCGUAUUAAUGAGCUCUCCUGAGACAGCAACUGUUCACCCAGCAGACCCUGCACCUGACCCCCAGAAAAACCAGUCUGUUUUGGAGAGGAGAAGCUGAGGCCCAGAAAGGGAGACUGCUGGCCCAGGAUCACGGAGGGCAAGAGCCAAGGCUUGAACCCCACCUUAUCAGAUGCUAAGCAUGAGCUCAUCAGCACCUGCCAGGCUGCCUCUCGGGGCCCCAGCCACCUUCCUCCUGAGGCCCCAACAGUUUGCUUCCAGAGGUGGCACAGCAUGGAAGGCAGGAACAUACCCUGGCAAUUUCUUCCCUUUGCUGAGCUCAGGACAUCUUGUUCACAGGCCUGUGAUGGGCAGUGAAACGUCAUCCUAGUGAGUGCAAACUGGGAGCUGCUGUUGCUGGCGUGGAGAGAGCUUGCCCCCCUCUCAUCUUACAGAUGGGACAGCAGUGGGCCAGGGAGUGAGGUUUGGACCUUCCUCAGACCCCCAGCACCUUUGGUGAGGAUCUUCCCAUCAUGAUGGGAACAUGGGCGAGAACAAACAUAGCUGACUUUCUGAAAUGCCAAAUUAGAGGGAGCGGAAGCCCAUCUCUGAAGGGCUGCCUUUAGGCAUGGCUGGACCCAGAGCCCCAAAUGAAGCCUCCAGGAUCUGUGUCUCUGUCAGCUGUCUUCUUCCUUUAAAAAAAGAAGGGCAGCCCCAGUGGCACAGAGGUUUAGUGCCGCCUGCGGCCCAGGGCCUGAUCCUGGAGACCUGGGAUCGAGUCCCAUGUCGGGCUCCCUGCAUGGAGUCUGCCUGUGUCUCUGCCUCUCUCUCUCUCUCUCUCUCUGGGUCUCUGUGAAUAAAUAAAUAAAUUCUUUAAAAAUAAAUAAAUAAAAAAAGAAAAAGAAGAACCAACAAAUUUGUGGUAAAAUACGCAGGACAUAAAAUUUAUCAUUUCAACAAUUUUAAACUGUUCAAUUUAGUGUUUUUUAUUGUGUUCAUGAUGCCUUGCAAUAAUCUCUUCUAUCUCAAAACAUGUUCAUCUCCUCCCAAAAGGAAACCUGGUCCCUAUUAGCAGGCACUCUCUGUCCCCUCCCCCAGCCCCUGGCAGCCACUAAUCUGUUUUCUGUCUCUACGGAUUUGCCUGUUCUAGACAUUUCAUAUAAACAGAGCCAUACAACAUGUGUCCUUUUGCAUCUGGCUUCUCUCACGGAGUGUGUCCUCAAGGUUCAUCCACGUUGCAGCUUGUAUCAGAGCUUCGUUCCUUUUUAUGCCUAAAGAGCAUUUUAUUUUACGCAUGUGCCGCGUUUCGUUUAUCUGUUCUCCAGUCGAUGGACAUCUGGGUUGUU